rnacentral:rRNA from 1 species
AGCCUGAUGACCAUAGCGCGUCGGUACCACCCCUUCCCAUCCCGAACAGGACCGUGAAACGACGUUGCGCCGAUGAUAGUGCGUCAACACGUGUGAAAGUAGGUCAUCGUCAGGCUA